UACGGAGGAUCCAAGCGUUAUCCGGAUUUAUUGGGUUUAAAGGGUGCGUAGGCGGAUUGAUAAGUUAGAGGUGAAAUGUCCGAGCUCAACUCGGGAACUGCCUCUAAUACUGUUGAUCUAGAGAGUAGAUGCGGUAGGCGGAAUGUAUGGUGUAGCGGUGAAAUGCUUAGAGAUCAUACAGAACACCGAUUGCGAGGGCAGCUUACCAAUCUAUAUCUGGCGUUGAGGCACGAAAGCGUGGGGAGCAAACAGG
rnacentral:rRNA from 1 species